GAAACUUAGCAUAUCAAUAAGCGGAGGAAAAGAAACCAACAGGGAUUGCCCUAGUAACGGCGAGUGAAGCGGCAACAGCUCAAAUUUGAAAUCUGGCUUCGGCCCGAGUUGUAAUUUGCAGAGGAAGCUUUAGGCGCGGCACCUCCUGAGUCCCCUGGAACGGGGCGCCACAGAGGGUGAGAGCCCCGUAUAGUUGGAUGCCUAGCCUGUGUAAAGCUCCUUCGACGAGUCGAGUAGUUUGGGAAUGCUGCUCAAAAUGGGAGGUAAAUUUCUUCUAAAGCUAAAUACCGGCCAGAGACCGAUAGCGCACAAGUAGAGUGAUCGAAAGAUGAAAAGCACUUUGAAAAGAGGGUUAAAUAGCACGUGAAAUUGUUGAAAGGGAAGCGCUUGUGACCAGACUUGCGCCGGGCUGAUCAUCCGGUGUUCUCACCGGUGCACUCUGCCCGGCUCAGGCCAGCAUCGGUUCUCGCGGGGGGAUAAAGGCCCUGGGAACGUAGCUCCUCCGGGAGUGUUAUAGCCCGGGGCGCAAUGCCCUCGCGGGGACCGAGGUUCGCGCUCUGCAAGGAUGCUGGCGUAAUGGUCAUCAGCGACCCGUCUUGAAACACGGACCAAGGAGUCAAGGUUUUGCGCGAGUGUUUGGGUGUAAAACCCGCACGCGUAAUGAAAGUGAACGUAGGUGAGAGCUUCGGCGCAUCAUCGACCGAUCCUGAUGUUCUCGGAUGGAUUUGAGUAGGAGCGUUAAGCCUUGGACCCGAAAGAUGGUGAACUAUGCUUGGAUAGGGUGAAGCCAGAGGAAACUCUGGUGGAGGCUCGCAGCGGUUCUGACGUGCAAAUCGAUCGUCAAAUCUGAGCAUGGGGGGCGAAAGACUAAUCGAACCAUCUAGUAGCUGGUACCCAGCCCCC
rnacentral:rRNA from 1 species